GGGGGGCUGGCGCAACGGUAGCGCGUUGGAUUCCAGUCCCAAAGGUUACCGGUUCAAAUCCGGUGUCCCUCA
rnacentral:tRNA from 1 species